rnacentral:tRNA from 1 species
GCGGGUAUAAUAUAAAGGCUCAUUAUGCCAGCCUUCCAAGCUGGAUAUGAGGGUUCGAUUCCCUCUACCCGCUCCA